AUGCCCAUUUACUUGUUUCGUUUUUUUUUCCAGCCGUCUUUUCUUUUUCCAAAGGUGUCUAAGCUACACAGAACUAGAAAUGUAACAAGUGUCUCAGAAUUCUUCCUCACAGGCCUCUCAGAUGGUCCAGAACUGCAGCCUUUGCUCUUUAUCCUGUUCCUGUCCUUGUACCUGGUCACCAUAUUGGGGAACCUACUCAUCAUCCUGGCUGUUACCUCUGACCCCCACCUCCACACCCCCAUGUACUUCUUCCUCUCCAACCUGUCCUCGGUUGACAUCAGUUUCAUCUCCACCACUGUCCCCAAGAUGAUUGUGAACAUCCAAACUCAUAGCAGAGUCAUCUCCUAUGAAGCCUGCCUGACACAGAUGUCUUUUUUUAUCCUUUUUGUGCGUAUGGAUGGUAUGCUUCUGACUGCAAUGGCUUAUGACAGGUUUGUGGCCAUCUGUCACCCACUGUGCUACCAGAUCAUCAUGAACCCACGCCUCUGUUGCAUUUUAGUUUUGGUGUCAGUUUUUGUUAGCUUUUUGGACUCCCAGGUGCACAAUUUGAUUGUGUUACAAGUUGCCUGCUUUAAGAAUGUGGAAAUUUCUAAUUUCUUCUGUGACCCUUCUCAAUUCCUCAAGCUUGCCUGUUCUGACACUUUCACCAAUAACAUAGUCCUGUAUUUUUUUGUGUGCCACCUAUGCUUUUCUCCUUUUCUCAGGGAUCUUUUUCUCUUACUAUAAAAUUCUUUUUUCCAUUCUAAGAGUCCCCUCAUUAGGUCGAAUGUAUAAAGCCUUCUCCACCUGUGGUUCUCACCUGGCAGUUGUUUGCAUAUUUUAUGGAACAGGCCUUGGUGUGUACCUCAGCUCAGCCAUCUCACAAUCUCCCAGGAAGGAUACAGUGGCCUCGGUAGUGUACACUGUGGUCACCCCCAUGCUGAACCCCUACAUCUACAGUCUGAGGAACAGAGACAUCAAAAAGGCCAUGUGGAGGUUCCUCAGCAAAACGUUCUAA